rnacentral:lncRNA from 1 species
CCUCCUCAGAUCAUGGCCCCACAGAGGCCCCCAGCAAACCCCACACCCCUGCCAGGUUGCGAUCCCUCCCGCCUCCCCCAGGCCCACCUUUGCUGCGGAAGGGGGCAGCCUCCAUCUGGAUCUGCAGCUGCUCUAUCUUCCAGCGGUAGAAGUUGACUGGGGACUGGAAGGUGACCAGCACCAGGGGCUUUAGCCCCGUCAGGUGGCCCAUGCGCACCAGGUCCUCAGAGGGCUGAGGGUGAGAUGGCCCCACAAGUGUGUCCUUAUGGUAGCCUCUGGGUGCCCCCUGCCUUAAGCCCGCCUCUAACAGUCUGUCUCCUGGGCUGUCCGGGGGCAGCACACUGUCCACCAUGUGAUGGUCAGAGGACAUGGUCUAGGUUUGGGGCUUGGAUGGGGGAUGGAACAGCCUAGGAGGGGGCAGAGGGGUAAGGGGCUGUGGAGGGAGUCGGAGGCCUUCCUGGAGGAGAUGACUCCAGAGCCAGUGUCUGCAGACAGAAUGUGCAUGUAGGGAAUACAUAGGGAAGGGCAGCAUGGGAUGAACAAAACUGUGCAGGUGGGAGGGAUGCUGGGAAGGUGGGAGGGAUGUGGCACCCAGGGUGCUGCUUUCCACUCCAGGGAUUCCCAGUUCCAGGCUUAAAAAAAAAAAAUUAGAUUGCCCAGGCUGGUCUUGAACUCCUGGUCUCAAGUGAGCCUCCCACCUUGGCCUCCCAAAGUGCUGGCAUUAAAGGCGUGAGCCAUCUCAUCUGGCCCCCAGUCUCACUCUUGAGGUGGGCUUCCACCCUCUCUGCAGCAGACUUUCUGCCACCUAUGCAAGUCAGAGGACAGCCAAGUUCUGGGCCUUGAGCUUGGGGUGAGUGUAGGAUGGGGCGAUUACACAGGAAGGGACUGAGGACGAGGGUGACAGGGCAUGCCUGGACAACCUCCCAGGGAUGCGGGAUCCUGGCUGAAUAGAAAAGGGUGGGGAGCGCUUAGAGUGGAGAUGGGAGAAGAGGAGAAGGAUGUUUCAGGCAUGCAGAACAGCACCAGUGAAGGCUAAGAGGCGUCCCCGAGAGAAGGCGGCACUCAGGCCACCAAGGGGAGGCCUUGGUUGCUGUGGGACCAGGGCGAGGGAUUUACCAGAUUCAGCACCUGUGCACAGCCCUUCAUCGAGAGGGCUGACUUUCUUUACUUUCUUUGCCAGGCUCCUUUCUUUUCCUUUUUUUUUUUUUUUUCAAGAAGGAGUCUCACUCUGUCGCCCAGGCUACAGUGCAGUGGCAUGAUCUCGACUCACUGCAGCCUCUGUCUCCUGGGUUCAAGUGAUUCUCCUGCCUCAGCCUCCUGAGUAGCUGGGACUACACACGUGCACCACCAUGCCCAGCUAAUUUUUGUAUUUUUAGUAAAGAUGAGGUUUCACCACGUUGGCCAGCCUGGUCUCAAACUCCUGACCUCAACUGAUCUGCGCGCUUCGGCCUCCCAAAGUGCUGGGAUUACAGGCAUGAGCCACCAGGCCAUUCUUUCUUUGAAAACUGUUUAAUUUUUGUAGAGACAGAGUCUACUCUGUUGCCCAGGCUGGCUAUUUCUGUAAUUUAUUUAUUUAUUUAUUUAUUUAUUUAUUUUUUACAUGGGACAGGGUCUUGCUAUGUUGGCCAGGUUGGUCUUGAACUCUUGGCCUCAAGCAAUCCUCCAGCCUUAGCCUCCUAAAAUGCUAGGAUUACAGGUGUAAGCCACUGCACCUGGCUUUUUUUUUUUUUUUUUAAGAUAAGGUCUUGCUCUGUUGCCCAGUCCGGAGUGCAGUGGUGCCAUCACAGCUCACUGUAACCUCCACCUCUCCCAGACUUCAGCAAUCCUCUUACCUCAGCCUCCCAAAUAGCUGGGACUACAGGUACCACUACCACGCCUGGCUAAUUUUUUUAUUUUUUAUUUUUUUUCCGAGACGGAGUUUUGCACUUGUUGCCCAGGCUGGAGUAUAAGGGCGCCAUCUCAGCUCAUUGCACCCUCUGCCUCCUAGGUUCAGGCGAUCGUCCUGCCUCAGCCUCCCAAGUAGCUGGGAUUACAGGCAUGCGCCACCACGCCCGGCUAAUUUUUGCAUUUUUAGUAGAGAUGGGGUUUCACCAUGUUGGUCAGGCUAGUCUCGAACUCCUGAACUCAGGUGAUCCACCUGCCCUGGCCUCCCAAAGUGCUGGGAUUACAGGCAUGAGCCACUAUGCCCGGCCCAAUUUUUUGAUUUUUUUUGUAGAGACAGGGUCUCCCUAUGUUGUCCAGGCUGGUCUUGAAUUCUUGGGCUCAAGCAAUCUUCUCUCCCUGGCCUCCCAAAGUGCUGGGAUUAUAGGUAUGAGCCACCACACCCAGCACCAGGCUCUUUUCAAUCCUGUCAACUACACCUGUCCCUGGCCCUGCCUGAGUUCCCAUUGCAGAGGAGAAGGUGCUAGUGGGGCAGGGACCUCCUUCCUGUGAGGAUGACAGUAGCCACUAACACCCUGGUCCUGUCCCCGUCAUCUCCUGCCUGGGCAAUGUAGCAGCCUCCUCCUUGUCUCACUGCUCCUGCCCUGCUCCCCCAACAACAGGAGGGAGCCAGUGAAGCCUGGAAUCAGAUCCAAUCCCUCCUCUGCAUAGGGCCCUCUCAGGCUCUGUCUCAGAGUAAAAGCCAAGUCCUCACCAUGGCCCAUCAAGCCCCAAAAACCUUCCCCCAUCACUUCCCUGACCUCUCCUCCCACACUCCCUCUCACUCACUCUGCUCCAGCCACAAAGUCCUCUUCAUAGUUUCUCACACAUGCUGACCUCUUUCCUACCUCUGGGCCAUCGUGCUGGCUCUUCCCUCGGCCUGGAAAGCUUUACCUGGCUCUCCUAAUAAUCCCCACUUUUUAUCAUUUGAGUCUCUGCUCAAGCCUUUCCAGAGUGACCUUCUCCAACGACCCCCACUAAAACAGUGCCCCCCCCUCCUUUCUAACGUAUUACCUCAUUUUAUUAUUUGCAUUUAUUAAUACUACUCUCAGAAAUUCUUUCAUGCCAGCCUUAGGCAACAUAGUGAGACCCUGUCUAAUUGAAAGUACACUGGUGUGAUGGCUUGAGCCUGUAGUCCCUGCUACUUGGGAGGCUGAGGCAGGAGGAUCACUUCAGCCCAGGAGGUCGAGGCUGCAAUGAGCUAUGAUCAAGCCACUGCAUUUCAGCCUGGGUGACAGCGCAAGACCCUGUCUCUAAAAAAAUAAAAUUAUUGGCCGGGCGCGGUGGCUCACAUCUAUAAUCCCAGCACUUUGGGAGGCCGAGGCAGGUGGAUCACCUGAGGUCAGGAGUUCAAGACCAGCCUGACCAAUAUGGAGAAACCCCAUCUCUACCAAAAAUACAAAAUUAGCCGGGCGUGGUGGCGCACAUCUGUAGUCCCAGCUACUUGGGCAGCUGAGGCAGGAGAAUCGCUUGAACCCAGAAUGUGUAGGCUGUACUGAGCCGAGAUCAUGCCACUGUACUCCAGCCUGGGUGACAGAGUGAGACCCUGUCUCAAAAAAAGAAAAAAAAAAAGACUCUGUGAUACUGGCAUAUGAAUAGGCAUUUAGAGCAAUGAAUUAUUGAGAAAUCAAUUCAUUUAGAAUAGAAUUGAGUCCAGAAAGAAACCCUUAUAUUUAUAUUCAAUUGAUUUUUGACAAAGGUGCCAAGACAAUUCAGCGGGGAAAGAAUAAUCUCAACAGGCCAGGCAUGGUGGCUCACGCCUGUAGUCCCAGCACUUUGGGAGGCCAAGGCAGGUGGAUCACCUGAGGUCAGGAGUUCGAGACCAGCCUGGCCAACAUGGUGAAACCCUGUCUCUACUAAAAUAUAAAAAUUAGCCAGGCAUGGUGGCGCAUGCCUGUAAUUCCUGCUACUCAGUAGGCUGAGGCAGGAGAAUCGCUUGAACCUGGGAGGGGGAGGUUGCAGUGAGCCAAGAUCACGCCACUGCACUCCAGCCUGGGUGGCAGAAUGAGAUUUUGUCUCAAAAAAAAAAAAGAAGAAUCUCACCAAACGGCAUUGGGACAACUGGAUAUGCACGUGUAAAAGCUUGGACCUCACACCAUAUACAAAAAUUAACUCAAAAUGGAUGAAAGACCUAAAUGUAAGAGCUAAAACUAAAAAUCUCUUGAAGAAAAUAUGAGUAAGUCUUCAUGAUCUUUAGUUACGCAAGGCCUUUGUAAAUGACACAAAAAACACAAGCAAAAAAAAGAAAAAAAUUUAUAAACUGGGCUUCACCAAAAUUAAAAACUUUAAUUCCUGCUACUCAGGAGGCUGAGGCAGGAGAAUCGCUUAGAACCCAGGAGGCAGAGACUGCAGUGUGCCGAGAUUGCGCCACUGCACUCCAGCCUGGGCGACAGAGUGUUAGGAGAAGCUGAGGCAGGGCUUGCAUGUCUGACAUAAUGUAAAAGAGUCUUGGAACAUGUCCGGGGUCCAGGGUCUAAAACCCCUUGUGGCCUUUGGAACACCAAGCUCUGUGCUAAAGGGUGGAAGCCUACCAUCAUGCACCAUAAUCUAAGCCAAGGGCAUAAAAUCCCUCAUGGCCUCGAUAGAAUCCAGGGCUCAUGGCUCUGGAAUGUGUCUAGACUUGCUUGCUCCUUGCGCUCCCAGGAUUGAUUGUAUCUUGAGUUAAAAGAACCUGCUCUCCAUUAUCUCAAGCAGCAGAGCAAAUGCUAAACCAUCACAGCUGUAAAUCAUGUGCUUAAUGCAAUGUGCCCUUUUGACCUCCACAUUCUCACCACCUGUUUCUUUGUUGGAUUACCAAUAAAUAGCGUGGGCUCCCAGAGCUCGGGGCUUUAGCAGCCUCCAUACACUAGCAAUGGCCCUCUGGUCCCACUUUACUUCUCUCUCUCAAACUGCCUUUUUCUCAAUCCUUUGACUCCGCCGGACUUCGUCGCCACCCCCUCCCCCCGACCUGGUGUUGGGUCUGAUCACCCCAACAACAGAGUGAGACUCCAUCUCAAAAAUUAAUUAAUUAAUUAAUAAAAACAAAGACAGGGUCUCACUCUGUCACCCAGGCUGGAGUGUAGUGGCAUGAUCACAGUUCCCUGCAGCCUCAACCUCCUAGGCUCAUUAUGAUGAUCCUGCCUUAGCAUUUCUACAGGUGGGAGCCACCAUGCCCAGCCAAAUUCACCUAGGCUAGUCUUGAGCUUCUGGAUGCAAGUGAUCCUCCCGUGCUGGUGUGGUGGCGCACAACUAGUCCCAGCUAUUCAAGAGGCUGAUGCAGAAGGUUCACUUGAGCCCAGGAGGUCAAGGCUGCAAUGAGCUGUGAUUUCACCAUUGCACUCCAGCCUGGGUAACAGAGUGAGACCCUGCCUCAGAAAAAUAACAAAAAUAACAAUGGUGAAUUUUAUGGUGUGUGAAUUAUAUAUAUGGUAAACUCCUACUCAUAGCUUUAAAAACCUGGAACAAGGCCGGGUGAGGUGGCUCACGCCUGUAAUCCCAGCACUCUAGGAGGCCGAGGCGGGCGGAUCACGAGGUCAGGAGAUCGAGACCAUCCUGGCUAACCCGGUGAAACCCCAUCUCUACUAAAAAUACAAAAAAUUAGCCGGGCGUGGUGGCAGGCGCCUGUAGUCCCAGCUACUUGGGAGGCUGAGGCAGGAGAAUGGUGUGAACCCAGGAGGCGGAGCUUGCAGUGAGCCGAGAUCGCGCCACUGCAAUCCAGCCUGGGCGGAGCGAGACUCCGUCUCAAAAACAAAACAAAACAAAAAAAACAUGGAACAAAAAAGCUUACUUGAGCACCUACUAGGUGCUUGGUGGGUUACUGGGAACUGUACACAGACAGCCUUCUUGAAUCCUUAAAGCCACCAGGGUUGGAUGGUGCUACCACAUAUUGAGAUGGGGGCCAGGCACGGUGGCUCACACCUGUAAUCCCAGCACUUUGGGAGUCUGAGGCAGGUGGAUCACAUGAGGUCAGGAGUUUGAGACCAGCCUGGGCAACGUGGUGAAACCCUGUCUCUACCAAAUACAAAAAUUAGCCGGGCGUGGUGUCACAUGCCUGUAGUUCCAGCUACUUGGGAGGCCGAGGCAGGAGCAUCGCUUGAACACGGGAGGCGGAGGUUGCAGUGAGCCGAGAUCGCGCCACUGCACUCCAGUCUGGGCAACAGCGCAAGACUCCGUCUCAAAAAAAUAAAAUAAAUAAAUAAAUAAAAAUGUUAGAGGUGGGAAAACCAAGGCUCAUAGAAUGAGCCUAUCCGUGCUGCACCCACUCACCUUUUCCUCGCAGGAGUAGUUGAUCUUCAGGUAGUAAGGGAAGCCCAGGUAUUUCUGCAAAGAGAGGUUAGGCCACACGUCCAGAAAUGAGUGGAGUGCGGGUUCAAAAUCCCUCUGGUUCACUUGACCCUGGUCCCCUCACCUCGCUCGGGUCGAUGGGUGAGUCCACCAGCAUGUGAAACAAGCUGCUCACUGUGUCCACGGGCUCUUGC